ACUUACUGCUGUACUUUAGACAAGUCUGAAUUCCAAGAGAUUUUUUUUUCAUCUAAAAAAAUUUGAAUCCAGCCCAGAAUAUCUUCAGAAGAUUCAGGCAGAGGGUAAAGAACAAAGCUUCAGAGAUAAGAGGUGGUCCUGGGAGGCAGUGGAGCAGCUACAGGUUUGCUUCAAGUCAAUGAACUGGGCUGUGUUGAAUAACUUGUCUGUGGACCUGAGUGGUUGUUAUGGACUUCAUAAAAACGAUAGUAGACGAGCGUGCCCCCACAAAAUCAUUCAGCGUCUUCUCCAACCUGAAGCCUUGGAUGGGUCAAGAGAUCCACAAUCUGCUGAGGGCCAGAUCAGCACCAUUCAAAUCCGGCAACCAAGGAAAUUCAAAGAGGUCCAGGUACGAUCUUCUGAAAGCCACCCCACAGGGAAGGUGGCAGUUCUGGACUAAAUCUAAUGCUCAAUAGUUGUGGCAGGGCUCGAAGGCAAUCACUUCUAACAAAGCGAAAUCAAGCAACACACUGUAAGUGACAACAGGGCUUCAUUUCCAAAUGAGCUCAACACCUUCUAUGCUCACUCUGACUGUCAAAACGUGGAGGAACCAUUAUGAACUUCCAUAACCCCUGAUGAUCCCAUCAUCUCAGUCUCUGAGGCUAAUGAGACCGCAUCCUUCAGGAAGGGCUCCUACGUGUCAAACUCAGUCGAAUGCUUCCUUGAUGUCAGGGAGAGGCUCUUCCACCUCUUUCAGCCCUAUUUGGAUCUGCCUUCUGUAAGAUCGAUCACCUUGUUGUGGUGGAGAGGCUUGUGAGUUCCUGAGAUCCCGAGAGAGAUGCCGUUCAGAGUUUAGCCAUGUGGCGCUCAGCUCCUGCAAGGUCCCCCAUGGCAGUAAGGUCAGCGGGGCGGCUCCAGACAGACAGCGAUCAAACCAACGCCUCAGUGGUGUACCUAGCGGAUGAUGACGAUGGGUCCCCAGUCAACUUGCGCUCCAUACCAUCAGAUGCUGACCGCGAUCCGUCGAGAUGUGCUGUCGGCCCGUGCAUCUGCCUCCCCGCGGUAAACAGACAUUCUCCAUUGAGGGAAUCCAUCCCAACAACCUGGUUACGUAGAUCCUGGAUUGGCCUUUACAGCCGGCUGAGACGCGCCAAUAGGCAAACCCUUUGGAGAACAUCACGGUCGACUCGCGUGAUCUGGAUCACGGCUGUGAGGAGCCAAAGCAGAUUCACGUCUGGGAUGCAGAUGCUGCUCGACCCGCUGAGUUCCAGCAGCAGAUCUGUCUGUUGAUGCAGAAUGAAGUGUUACAGUCACAAGGAAAAUGCUGUCUAGGUGGGCAAGCAACGUGCAAGGCCACGACAAGGAAGAGUGAGAGAUCAAGAGUUCACGUUUGACACUAUUCAGAGGGCACAGCCUCGGAAUACAAGGAAAUCUCUUUAGAACAGAGAUCAGGAGGAAUUUCUUCAGCCUGAGGUUAGUGAAUCUGUGGAGGACGUGAUUG